rnacentral:rRNA from 1 species
GAUGAACGCUAGCUACAGGCUUAACACAUGCAAGUCGAGGGGUAACGAGAGGAAAGCUUGCUUUCCUUGUCGACGACCGGCGCACGGGUGAGUAACGCGUAUCCAACCUGCCCCCAACUAGGGAAUAACCUUGCGAAAGUAAGACUAAUACCCUAUAAUUUCCUCAGAUGUCAUCUGACGAGGAAUAAAGAUUUAUCGGUUGUGGAUGGGGACGCGUCUGAUUAGCUUGUUGGCGGGGUAACGGCCCACCAAGGCAACGAUCAGUAGGGGUUCUGAGAGGAAGGUCCCCCACAUUGGAACUGAGACACGGUCCAAACUCCUACGGGAGGCAGCAGUGAGGAAUAUUGGUCAAUGGGCGGAAGCCUGAACCAGCCAAGUAGCGUGCAGGAUGACGGCCCUAUGGGUUGUAAACUGCUUUUAUACGGGAAUAAAGUUAGCCACGUGUGGUUAUUUGUAGGUACUGUAUGAAUAAGGACCGGCUAAUUCCGUGCCAGCCGCCGCUGUAA